rnacentral:rRNA from 1 species
ACGCUGGCGGCGUGCCUAAUACAUGCAAGUCGAGCGAAGUUUUUCUGGUGCUUGCACUAGAAAAACUUAGCGGCGAACGGGUGAGUAACACGUAAAGAACCUGCCUCAUAGACUGGGACAACUAUUGGAAACGAUAGCUAAUACCGGAUAAUAGCAUUAACUGCAUGGUUGAUGUUUGAAAGUUGGUUUUGCUAACACUAUGAGAUGGCUUUGCGGUGCAUUAGCUAGUUGGUGGGGUAAAGGCCUACCAAGGCGACGAUGCAUAGCCGACCUGAGAGGGUGAUCGGCCACACUGGGACUGAGACACGGCCCAGACUCCUACGGGAGGCAGCAGUAGGGAAUCUUCCGCAAUGGGCGAAAGCCUGACGGAGCAACGCCGCGUGAGUGAAGAAGGAUUUCGGUUCGUAAAGCUCUGUUGUUAGGGAAGAAUGAUUAUGUAGUAACUAUACAUAGUAGAGACGGUACCUAACCAGAAAGCCACGGCUAACUACGUGCCAGCAGCCGCGGUAAUACGUAGGUGGCAAGCGUUGUCCGGAAUUAUUGGGCGUAAAGCGCGCGCAGGUGGUUUAAUAAGUCUGAUGUGAAAGCCCACGGCUCAACCGUGGAGGGUCAUUGGAAACUGUUAAACUUGAGUGCAGGAGAGAAAAGUGGAAUUCCUAGUGUAGCGGUGAAAUGCGUAGAGAUUAGGAGGAACACCAGUGGCGAAGGCGGCUUUUUGGCCUGUAACUGACACUGAGGCGCGAAAGCGUGGGGAGCAAACAGGAUUAGAUACCCUGGUAGUCCACGCCGUAAACGAUGAGUGCUAAGUGUUGGUCUCAUAAGAGAUCAGUGCUGCAGCUAACGCAUUAAGCACUCCGCCUGGGGAGUACGACCGCAAGGUUGAAACUCAAAGGAAUUGACGGGGACCCGC